CCGAAGGCGUGCGCCGGGGAGGGGCUGCGGGCCGCGGGGGACACGGCGGGCCCCCAGCCCGCGGCUUCGCGCUUCACAGCCUCACCGCCCGCCGCAGCCCACCCUCGAGGGAGCCAUUCUGACGCGGACCCUCCACGCAGAGCCGCACCAGCUGACACCGCAUGGAGCAGAGACAAGCCCUCAGAGAACUGCCCAGAUUCUAAAUAGACUUGUAAGCAAAUAAAUGGUUAUUGUUUUCA